rnacentral:ncRNA from 2 species
GGCUCACACCUGGGGGGCCCUGACAAGGGGCUGAGAGGCUGCUGGCAUCUUCCAUGAGGGAAGUGCAGCGCAGCGACCCGUCGAACCUGAUCCAGUUCACACUGGCGGAGGGAUGGUGCCGUGUCUGACGU